rnacentral:ncRNA from 1 species
AAACUGAAGAGUUUGAUCAUGGCUCAGAUUGAACGCUGGUGGCAGGCUUAACACAUGCAAGUCGAACGGUAACGGGUUGAAAGCUUGCUUUCGACGCUGACGAGUGGCGGACGGGUGAGUAAUGCUUGGGAAUCUGGCUUAUGGAGGGGGAUAACCAUUGGAAACGAUGGCUAAUACCGCAUAGAAUCGGAAGAUUAAAGGGUGGGACUUUUUGCCACCUGCCAUAAGAUGAGCCCAAGUGGGAUUAGGUAGUUGGUGGGGUAAAGGCCUACCAAGCCUGCGAUCUCUAGCUGGUCUGAGAGGAUGGCUAGCCACACUGGGACUGAGACACGGCCCAGACUCCUACGGGAGGCAGCAGUGGGGAAUAUUGCGCAAUGGGGGGAACCCUGACGCAGCCAUGCCGCGUGAAUGAAGAAGGCCUGGU